ensembl:lncRNA
CUUCUAAGGAAGGAGACUGAGGGGUGUGACUCAGAAUGGGACGGUCUGAUCCACACUCUCUCCAUCCUCAGGGACAUGAUCAGUCCUACAGCCACCUUCCUCAUGUCAGAGCAACUGGAUAGAGAGAGAACCAGGUCAGUGUAAACUACAGUACACACAAACACGCAUAUACACAUGCACACGCAAAUACACACACACUGAGUGGUCUUUUCGUGGUCUUUCAAGGUGGAAUAAGGUGAAUCGUGAGCUGGAGAAUCACCUGAAUAGAACUCAGACACUGCUCCAGAUCUGGGGGGCUUAUGCCCGUCUCUCUGUACCUUUCUCCCAACGUCUGCAAACACUGAGGGGUGAUGUCACAGCUCUGAUGAACCAGCCACCUGGUCAGGACAACACUACACAACUGGUUACAGCCCAGAUACAGGCCGUCCAUGUAAGUGGGAUAUUGUGAACGCUACAUGGUAGAGGGAAUAUGCAGAUAGUUAAUGAGUCGUAUGAGAGUAUAGAUCAGACUGAUCCUGAAUCAGUUCUUGUGAGAACUUUGUCAUCCUCGCUGCUGUAUUUCUCCCAUUGCCCCUGUCCCAGAGCCUGCAGGAGAGAACAGACAGUUUACAGACCAACCUGGAGGGGGUGCUAGAGGCCUCUAAGGAACUCAGUGGACGAGUGGAACCCUCGUCUGCCGUCUUCAUCCAAUCAGAGAGCCGUAUGCUGACCCGUGGUGUCCUACAUCUGAGCCAGUCACUGGCCGAUAAGCUUGGGCAUCUCCAGGUACUGUGUGGUGAUAUAUGCCUUAUUGUUUUAUAGCUACUUGUAUGACAUUACUAGUUUAAUUAUGUUAUGUAUGCCUUUAUGCCUGAUCCCUGACCAUGUUAUUCAUGUGUUUAUCUGUGUGCAGGAAGCGCAUGAUCAGCUCCAGGAGUUUGAGAGUGUCUUGGCAUCCCUUGAGAAACACCUUGAGGACUGGGAGGGGAGACUGAAAAGUGUAACCGUGCCUCCACAAAUGUAUAUAUCCAAGAUGGGUCUGCUGGAGCUGAGUGGCUUCUCUCCUGACCUGGACAUACUGAAUGAGCUGAGCUACAGGCUGACCCUCAGUGACCCUGCCACCCACAGACUACAGAGCCUCAACUGGAGCUGGGCUCAGGCCUCGGCCCGCGCUGUGGAGACCUACAGGUCAGUACAGUAGAAGUGUUUUACUGUCAGAGUGGAAACGUGAGAGACACUAACAGACAGAGUCUAUGCCCUACUAUUACACUAGAAAACAGUAUGGCAGGUUUAAUGUGUGUCUUGUUUGUGUGUCAGUGAGUUGCAGACAGAGUCACUGAGGCAACAGAGUUUUCAGGAGAAGUGUGAGAACUGGAUGGACUUCCUACAGACGAUGGAGGACAGCCUAGCAGUAGACCUGGCCAGCACCUACAGCGGCCUGAGAGAGCAGCUACGCACACACCAGGUGACAAACACACAUACGCUCGCACGCUUACAUCACACACAUACGCACAUACACACGCACACACGGACUCUUGCACGCACGCACUUACGCACACACACACACAAAAAUACAGCCACUAUCAGUAUCUAUCUACACUAACUAGGCCAGUGAAUAUGACAGUAAUAUUGUGAUUCUGGUGUCUCAGAGGUUCCAGUUAGAGAUGUCUAUCGGUCAUCAGAUCCUGCACUCUGUCAUCAAUGAUUCUCUACGUCUGCUGCAGAGGGGAGACGUGGAGGAUAGGUGAGGACAGGACAGAAAUUCUCUGCUCACAUGAUCAAUUUUAUUUUUUUAUUUUUUU